rnacentral:tRNA from 1 species
AAAAAGGCCGGAAUAGCUCAGUUGGYAGAGCAGAGGACUGAAAAU